UCUCCCUCGGAUGUGCCCAGGAGUGCCCAUCUCAAGGGAACUCCUCCUAAGCUCACAUUCUCUCCUGGCAUGUCCUUUAGUUCUCCAGUUUACAGCCACACUUUUCCAUUCUCUUAAAUGAUGGGUUUUAAAAUUAAUUUUCACUAGGAAGAAUAUGCUGUGAUUUUUGAAAUGAAUGUCCCCUUUCUCUAACAACUACCACUUAGAUAGGAAUUUACGUUCCCUCUCCAUGGACAACCCUGUCUUUUGUGAACCUCCAGAGAGAUGUUAAACACACAUAGAAACACGGAGAUGUGUGUGUUUUCUAAGACAAUAUAGCACAGCAUGGACUUGUCUUCUUCAGAAUUUUUUCAUUCUUUUCCUUCCCCUACUUGUUUUUAGGAUGGACAUUCUGCAUCUCUUGUUUCUUUACCUUUUGACAAGUGCAUUUAAUUCAUUACACUUUCAUUAAUAGCCAUCUCUGCCUCCUUUCUGAAUUAUGAUUAUUAAUUUCAACUAUUGCCCUCUGGCUGACAGGCUGUGAACAUACAACCUUUUAGCUGGGUUUGGUUUUAUUUCUUCUGUCAAUACUAUUAUUUAAUAAUUAUUUAAUAUUGUACCACAUGCAUCAUUUUCUUUCUCACCAUAACUUACUGUAUUUCAAACUGCUUCUCAGCAAAUUAUCUUCUUUAUGCGUUUCCUUCAGGAAUUCUAGUAGGGAGAGGGUCCUGGAGUUAAUCCCUCCUUUUUCUGUAUCUUUGAAAACAGUUCUAGUCUCAUGAACUCCUCGUAUUUUCUACUCUCCAUCUGGCCCUGUUCAGAAACGUGUGGCUGCCUCCGGGAUCCUGGGAGAUGGUGUCCUCCUAAGAGGUUGACUUGGAGUCACCUUGCAGGGCCUGUUCCUCCCCAGGGGCCCCCUGGGAACAUCUCAGCUCCUCUCUCGCCCCCACCUGUAAAUAGCCCUCUGUGGGGCUGAGAUAGACCCAGCUCGUGGCCCCAGGGCUUCACCCCUCUCUGCGGAGCCUCCAUCCUGUGCCCUUGGUUUCGGGCUUGAGCCUAGGAGUGGCUCUGGCCAGCAGAAAGGGAUGGGGACAGUGCAGAAUCCCUCAGGCUUCCCGUGUCCACGUCCCUGGCUCCUCCCCGCACUGGAACAGGACUCCUGCCAGCAGCUGGGGAGACCGUUCUCUAGGGCAUCCUCUGAAGGCAGCAGGCUGCUGUGGGCUGAGGCGCUUUUUAGACACGAGAUAAUUCACAGCUCAUCAGGAACACCGCAUCAGUGCUUAUGGGUGUCUCACGACUGCGGUAGGGAAAAUAGGUCUCUUACCGGAAGAUUAAAGAGAAAGAUUCUCUCCCUACAGACUCCUCCUGAGCAGCCAUGCACGUGGCGUUUGCUCACAAUGGGCGAUGGGAUUUUAACCAGCUUUUAUGUUCAGAAGGCAGGGCACACCUGGAAGCCAUCAUCAGGUGAUGGCCUGAUUGAGCUGGUGAAGCACUGGGCGUGCGGGUAGGGUCCGUUCCUGAUCAGGAGCGUUCUCAGCGUCGUGAGCAGCAUGGGACUUGGAGGCUCGGAUGCCCCCAGGAGGCAGGCCCUGCAGCAUGGGGCAAGGAAUGGACACAAAUGCUGGGCACGUGUUGUGGUCACCUUGGGAGGUCUUGGCAGCAGCGGGUUCAGGCACACAGGCAUCAUCGGGUAUGCUCCCUGCUGGGACUGCAGGGGUGGAGCUUCCAAGUCCAGCCGAGGACACAGGCAGGUGUGCGGCUGUGAGUGCUGGGAGGGUUGGCCCAUGGCCCUGGCAGCCCCAGGCCCACACCCUGCUGUGUUCUAGGGCAGAUGAGAUGAUUUUCCUGAAAUGUUCUUUCUCUUCCUGGCCCCAUCCUCCAGGUGUGGAAUAUCCUGCUCCAAUCCUCAGCCCUGGGCCUGGCCAUGUCACCUACUUUGUCUAGUGAAACGUCGGUGGACAGGCGCUGCCCGGGCUCCAGGGAGCUCCUCCCUGAGACUCACUCCCUGUGACUCUGCCAUCAGCACGGAACGACCUGCCUGGCUGCCUCCGGGGUCAGGGAGGACAUGCGGUGUGGGAGCAGAGCCGGCCCCACUGCAGCUGCGGGCGCUGUUCAUCUGAGUGGCACAAGGUCAGCUGACACCCGUCAGACUCUCAGAACCCUGAGCCAGCCCUGCUGAGAUCUGAGCCACCGCGGCCCAACUGCAGUCACCUGGGAAGGAAGCCCCGCAUUCCGCCCCCGGGAUGUGCGGCCCUUUGCUCUGCAGCAGUGUGGCCCGGGGAAGCCAAAAGAUUAGACAGCCCUGGUUUGGAUGGACAAAGUCUCCAGGAAUGAAGUACAUUUGGGAUGAGCACAGGACAGGCUGAGGCUCGGUGAACAGAAACCACAGCUAAGCAGGAUGCCGGGUCGUAUAGACCGUACACUCAGCUGCCAGAAGGUUAUGUGUUUCAUCUGCAAGUUUUCUCAAAUUGUUGCACAUCUUCAAAAAAUUUUCCAACAUAUUUACUGGAAAAAAUCCACAUAUAAGUGGCCCCCCCACCAGUUCAAACCUGUGUUGUUCAAGAGUCAGUUAUAUUUAUGAGGUGUUUUCAAAAGUUUAUGGAAAAUGUGUCUUACAAAAAAAACUAUGCAUGAAUUUCAAAUUUCUUUUGCACCAAAAUAAACUCAUACUAACUUGUUAUAAUAUGUCUGAAAAGUAUCUAGUUUGAGACACUAAGAAAGAUAAGACAUCAGUUUGGAAAGAGUCCCUAUCAAAGCAACGUGAAUUAUGCUAAAAUUGAAGCAGAACAAACACCAAAUCUGUGGUGAAGCUUAGGUAGAGGACUAGUGAAGUCAUUGAUGCUUUAUAAACAGUUUAGGGGGAUAAUGCCCCACAGAAAUCAGCCAUUUACAAAUAGUUAAGUCAUUUUAAGAAGGAACCCGAUGAUGUUGAACAUGAAGCCUGCAGCAGCAGACCACGUCAGUUUGAGAGGAAAAAAUCAAUAUCGUUGAUGCCCUAAUUAAAGAGGACUGGUGCUUAGCAGCAUAAAUAGCCAACACCGUAGACAUCUCAGUUGGUUCAGCUUACCUAAUCCUGGCCAAAAAAUUAAAGUUGAGCAAAUUUUCUACCUGAUGAGUGCCCAGACUGUCACACCCAGAUCAGCUGCCAACCAGAGCAGAGCUUUCAAUGGAAAUUUUACACCAGAGGGGGAUCAAGAUCUUGAAGCAUUGCUUAGAAGAAUUGUAACAGGAGAUGAAACAUGGCCCUGCUAGUACCAUUCUGGAGACAAAGCACAAUCAAAGCAAUGGCUACCAAGAGGUGGAAGUGGUGCAGUCACAGCAAAAGUGGACCACCCAAGAACAAAGGUCAUGGCAACAAUUUUUGGAAAUGUUCAAGGCAUUUUGUUUGUUGACUUUCUGGAGGGCCAAAGAACAGUAACAGCUGCUUAUCAUGAGAGUGUUUUGAGAAAGCCAAAGCUUUAGCAUAAAGUUGCCUAGGAAAGCUUCACCAGAGAGUCCUUCUCCACCACGAUGCUCCUGCUAUUUCUUACCAUCAAACCGGGGCAAUCUUUUUUUUUUGAGUCAGAGUCUUGCUUUGUCACCCAGGCUGGAGGGCAGU